UGGCUCAGGAUGAACGCUGGCGGCGUGCCUAAUACAUGCAAGUCGAGCGAACGGACGAGAAGCUUGCUUCUCUGAUGUUAGCGGCGGACGGGUGAGUAACACGUGGAUAACCUACCUAUAAGACUGGGAUAACUUCGGGAAACCGGAGCUAAUACCGGAUAAUAUUUUGAACCGCAUGGUUCAAAAGUGAAAGACGGUCUUGCUGUCACUUAUAGAUGGAUCCGCGCUGCAUUAGCUAGUUGGUAAGGUAACGGCUUACCAAGGCAACGAUGCAUAGCCGACCUGAGAGGGUGAUCGGCCACACUGGAACUGAGACACGGUCCAGACUCCUACGGGAGGCAGCAGUAGGGAAUCUUCCGCAAUGGGCGAAAGCCUGACGGAGCAACGCCGCGUGAGUGAUGAAGGUCUUCGGAUCGUAAAACUCUGUUAUUAGGGAAGAACAUAUGUGUAAGUAACUGUGCACAUCUUGACGGUACCUAAUCAGAAAGCCACGGCUAACUACGUGCCAGCAGCCGCGGUAAUACGUAGGUGGCAAGCGUUAUCCGGAAUUAUUGGGCGUAAAGCGCGCGUAGGCGGUUUUUUAAGUCUGAUGUGAAAGCCCACGGCUCAACCGUGGAGGGUCAUUGGAAACUGGAAAACUUGAGUGCAGAAGAGGAAAGUGGAAUUCCAUGUGUAGCGGUGAAAUGCGCAGAGAUAUGGAGGAACACCAGUGGCGAAGGCGACUUUCUGGUCUGUAACUGACGCUGAUGUGCGAAAGCGUGGGGAUCAAACAGGAUUAGAUACCCUGGUAGUCCACGCCGUAAACGA
rnacentral:rRNA from 2 species